GUUAAUGCAGUAUAUCUAAAUUAAAAUAACUAUCUAAAUAUUCUAAUAGGCCUUUGAGUUUCUUAGAAAUUGCUUUUAUCAUAAGCUUGACAGAAGUGUAGUAUUGAAAAUUAAAACAGCAUUUACAUAUGCUGUAUAGUUAUUCAUUUUUUAAAAAUCACAAAUCAGUUUUAUGUCUAUUCUUUAAAAUAGCCUCAGAAGGUACUCUUUGUGGUUAUUUGUUUUGAUAUAGAUUUAUAUGCUAUCCCAUACAUAUUGUUAGCUCUAUAUUUGGAUCUUGACAUUUAAAAUGGUAUAGAUUCUACUAAAAGGAGGAAAUUUCUUUUUUUUUUUUUUUGUAGCUGAUGAAUAGGUCUGUGAAAUUAAAUACACUUUGAAGGCUAAAUUAACAAGUAACCAAUGUAAAGAUGCCUUGCUUGUUUUCAACAGAAUGACUACUAUCUCCAUAGAGUUCACUCUUGACCUUACCUGACCAGAGAAAGUAUUUCUUAACUGAUGGUAGAACAUCAACUAUUUAAGCAGGGUCCAAGAUGGUGACUCAUAAGUGCUAUAGUUACUGACUGCAAAAGAAGACCAGAACUGUGAUGAAAUUUAAAACUUUAUAAACCUCUUGGCAAUAUUUUUGGAAAAAAAUGCAGAAUUUGUAGCCUAUGAAGUUCUGAUAUAGGCUCAUCUCUAGAAGUUUAUAAAAAAAGAAAAAGUGUGUGAAAUGGAGAUUGCAUAAUCUUGUCUUGAAGUACAGGA